GGUGACGAAAGGCGCAGUGCCUGCGUGGGUCCGUGUGGAGGUGAGCGGAUGCGUUCAGGGUGCAGUGCGGAGAAGGCAGUCUUUGGCUUAUGGCGUGCGCAAUAGAGAUGUGUACCUGGCCUCCGAUGAAAGCACAUUCUGCCUGGUCCACUCGACUUGACUCUGCUCCACUUCAUUGAAUCAGUGGUGCUGAAUGAAACAAAAAAUUUUCCAGAUGUAUUUUGUCUUCAAAGAGUUGAGAUUCAAUGGCUGUUGCAGCUGCCUUCAAAAAAGACAGCCAGCAUGCAGAGGCCCGGAGCAUGUGGGAAGUUCUCAAGUGUGGCACCAGGCAUGUUUUUUGAUCUCACCAAGGUUCAUGGACGACUUAGAGACAGAAGAACUUGAGAUGGAGUUAUUUUCCAACACCAAAGACAUGGCUAUACCAUCAGUGAAAAGGCAAAGGGAAGGAGGCGACGCCAUGGAAGAACUGCAUUUUCGAAGGUUUAUUUAAACCUUUGAUGAAUGUGUGGGAUGUGUAUGCCACCACUAGUGGGUGAAUGCAGACGAUGUGUGGAAUUAACAAUGUGGGGUUUAACAGAGGGUGUUGUCAGUGCGUGUUGGAUGUAUCUUUCGUUGAAUCCAAAGGGGAAGGCAAAGAGGUAGUCAGCAGGGAGGCAAGCAGUCAGGGGCUGAAGAGAGGCAACGAUGUCAGGGCCCAAACAGUGGUCAAGGAUCGGGGAAGGUAAGCGAAAAUCCGGGAGCAGGUCGUGAGGCAAGACACGAUCACGGAAGACACUGUGGAAGACAAAAAGGACAUCAAGACGGGAACGAGGAAGAACACAUGGUAGGCGAGCAAGAAACGAUUCAAAAGUGCCAGACAUCAUGCUCACUCAGGCGAGAUUGGCUACGUUCUGGCGAAGGUCUACUGGCUUCGGUGACUAUUUAUGCCGCUCCCUCUCGUCAGGCCCAGGUGCGCUGAUGAGUGAUUGACUGCAGCCUUGUCGCUGUGUGGGCGUGCUACGCCCAGCGCGAGCGGUGGUGUGUCUGAGUGAGCAGCCAGAGGAGGAAUUGUGACACUCAGAAGCAUGAGAAGGGUUCGAAUCCACGCCAUGACAUCUACUUGUUCAUUUACUGUUAAUAUCUGCUUACUUUCUCUUUUAACAUUUUCUAUCUACAUUUCGGUUUACAUGUAAAAAUCACUUAUUCUUCUGUUGUUUAGAUGCUUUACAUUAAUUUUGGAUGAUACCACACAUUUAGUUAGCAAUCUGAUACCAAGUAGUUACAGGAUCAUACAUUGGUCAUAUUCAAAGUCCCCAUAUGCCCAGGAACGUAUUUCCUGAGUUUAUAAACAUGUAAUAAUUUUUUUCCAAACGAAAAAAUAUUUUGUGAUGCUAAAAAAUAUCGAUGUAAUCAUGGUAGUAUCGAUUAGAUACGCUCCUGUACUUGGUAUCAUUACAGUGGAUGUCAGGUGUAGAUCCACCCAUGGUGUUAAGUGUAGGAUGUUUAGCUAUUCCUCGUGCUGCAGGGAUGAUUUUUAUAAGAAACUUUUUUUUUUGUCGCCAUGAAGGUGAGGAUUAGUGAUUUAGAAGUAGCUACAACACCGGUAUUUUUUAGAGGCGGCCUAGUACCGAAUAUGAUUCAUUAGUAUCGCGGUAUUAUACCAAUACCGGUAUACCAUACAACCCUACUCUAUUGCUGAGAAUUAUUUUUAAAAUGUUGUCUAUAAAUGUAUUUUUAUUGUGUUUUCAUUGUAAACAUUCCGUAAGGUGGUGCCAUAGGCCCAUGCUUUGACAUUGACACGAAAAACACUUUUUACAGUUAAAAAAAUUAACUAAUACGGGCGGCGUGCCUCUGGUGGUAGAGCUGUCAUACCAUCCACUUAAGUGUUCCAUGUUUGAUCCAAGCUUCCGCCAUCGAAAUUACGUCCGUUGUGUCCCUGGACAAGACACUUCACCCUUGCUCCUUAUGGGUCGUGGUUAGGGCCUUGCAUGGCAGCUCCCGCCAUCAGUGUGUGAAUGUGUCUGUGAACGGGUGAAUGUGGAAAUAGUGUCAAAGCGCUUUGAGUACCUUGAACGUAGAAAAGCGCUAUACAAGUAUCAUUAAUUUACCAUUUAAUACACAACUAUAAACAAAAAAAUAAAAUGUAUAUAUUCAUAUGAAAAGUACAAAUCAAACUUGAACAAUAAUUUUGACCCAUCAGAAAUGGGAAUGCAAAGUUGUACAACCCUACCUGGUUUGUGUAUGCGUGAA